CUGUUUUUACGCAGAUCCCCCUCCUCAACAGGAUCACACUGGGACUGUUAUCUGUGCUGUCGGUGUAAUUGUAGGAGCUGUCGGAUUUGUCAUCGGUCUGUACCUGGUUAUAAAGAUACGCAGUCGACAGGGUGCGCCGUCUCCAAGCCUGUCCUGUAAAGAAUAACUGCAUCGGAGACUGGAAGGAGGCGUGAGAAAGAUCAGUCCACGUUGGGAGAAGAGAAAGUGACUGUUUUCACCUGCAGGACGUUUCUGCUUUUUUCUGUUUAACAGAAUGCAGGAUCUGCCAUUAAUCAAGGGUCAUCAAUGGUUAUACAGUCAGAGUCACGCAACACAAAAACAGGUCCUUUGGCCCAACUCAUCUACGCCAUCCAGACAUCCUAAGUUAAACUAGUCCCAUUUGCCAGCAUUUGGCCCAUAUCCCUCUCAAUCCUUCCUAUUCAUAUCCCCAUCCAGAUGCCUUUUAAAUGUUGUAAUUGUACCAGCCCCCACCACUUCCUCUGGCAGCUCAUUCUAUACACACACCACCCACUGCGUGAAAAAGUUGCCCCUCCGGUGCCUUUCCCCUUUCCCCUUAAACCCAUGCACCUCUAGUUUUGGACUCCCCUACCCUGGAGAAAAGACUUUGACUAUUCACCCUUUCCAUGCCCCUCAUGAUUUUACAAAUUUCUAUAAUGUCACCCCAUC